rnacentral:misc_RNA from 1 species
AUGUGUCAAUCAAAUUUGCAUCUAGGGUGGACGUUCAUCAUCUACGACAAUUUUUAAGUGGUAGACAAAUGGAUCCUCCACAAGAAACAUUACAAGCUCUUGACAUUGUUCUUAGGGCAUCACCAUCGAAAAAGUAUACCACUGUUGGGAGGUCAUUUUUCUCACCUAAUUUGGGGCCAUGGGGUGAGCUUGGUGAUGGUAUAG